rnacentral:miRNA from 1 species
UAGGGUAGCCCUCUGUCCUGGUUUGCCUGGGAUUGAGGGGUUUCCCGGGAUGUAGGACUUUCAGUACUAAAACCAGGAAAGUC